rnacentral:rRNA from 1 species
UACGGAGGGUGCAAGCGUUGUCCGGAAUCACUGGGCGUAAAGGGCGCGUAGGCGGCCUGGUAAGUAGGGGGUGAAAUCCUGCGGCUUAACCGCAGGGCUGCCUUCUAAACUGUCAGGCUUGAGCACGGUAGAGGCAGAUGGAAUUCCCGGUGUAGCGGUGGAAUGCGUAGAGAUCGGGAAGAACAUCAGUGGCGAAGGCGGUCUGCUGGGCCGUUGCUGACGCUGAGGCGCGACAGCGUGGGGAGCAAACAGG